CCAGGAUCAGCAGUCUUCUGCUGCCUUCUUAAUGUUUCACCUAAGUUCCCAUAGUUGCUCUCAAAAAGUUUCUUGGCCCUCGUGGGCCAGUGUGGAGGGGCUGUAUCAUCAUUCAUCAGGAGCGUCACUUGGUGGUUUAGGGGGAAAUAAUCUAUUCUUAAGAUUGAAGAGAGUGCAGGAUUUGGGGGGUUGACUCUACAUCCUUCAGUAUCAGAGCUUAUCUCCUUGUCUUACCUCCUAGGAGACCCUCCUGUUCUUAACUGUGGGCGAUGAGAAAGGUGGUGGACUCUUCUUACUGGCAGGGCCACCUGCGUCUGUGGAGACCCUGGGGCCCAGGGUGGCUGAGGUCCUGGAAGGCAAAGGAGCAGGGAAGAAAGGCCGUUUUCAGGGCAAGGCCACCAAGAUGAGCCGGCGGAUGGAGGCGCAGGCGCUUCUCCAGGACUACAUCAGCACGCAGAGUGCUAAGGAGUGAGGGCUUAGGGCACUCACCUCCUGUUUCCACAGGAAUCUUUUGGUCAAUAAAAUAGAUUGACUCAGAA
rnacentral:lncRNA from 1 species